GUUGUAAUUUGGGUUCCUACGGAUGCGCCUGAUAAGCGUGAGGUCGGUGGUUCAAAUCCACCCGGGCCCA
rnacentral:tRNA from 1 species